GACGAACGCUGGCGGCGUGCUUAACACAUGCAAGCCGAACGGGGUUGCACGAGUGGAAUUCUUCGGAAGGAAACAUGUGUAUACCUAGUGGCGGACGGGUGAGUGACGCGUGAGCAACCUGCCCUGCAACGGGGGACAACAGUCGGAAACGAUUGCUAAUACCGCAUAAGACCACACUACCACAUGGUAGAGGGGUAAAAGGAUUUAUUCGAUGCAGGAUGGGCUCGCGUCCCAUUAGAUAGUUGGUGAGGUAACGGCUCACCAAGUCAACGAUGGGUAGCCGACCUGGAGAGUGAUCGGCCACACUGGAACUGAGACACGGUCCAGACUCCUACGGGAGGCAGCAGUGGGGAAUAUUGGGCAAUGGAGGAAACUCUGACCCAGCAACGCCGCGUGAAGGAAGAAGGCCUUCGGGUUGCAAACUUUUGUCCUAUGGGACGAAGAAGUGACGGUACCAUAGGAGGAAGCUCCGGCUAACUACGUGCCAGCCGCCGCCGUAA
rnacentral:rRNA from 1 species